rnacentral:rRNA from 1 species
GAUGAACGCUGACAGAAUGCUUAACACAUGCAAGUCAACUGUGGCGGACGGGUGAGUAACGCGUAAAGAACUUGCCUCACAGUUAGGGACAACAUUUGGAAACGAAUGCUAAUACCUGAUACUGUGAGAGAGCUUUGCGUCCCAUUAGCUAGUUGGAGAGGUAACGGCUCACCAAGGCGAUGAUGGGUAGCCGGCCUGAGAGGGUGAUCGGCCACAAGGGGACUGAGACACGGCCCGUACGCCUACGGGAGGAAGCAGUGGGGAAUAUUGGACAAUGGACCAAAGUCGGAUACAGCAAUGAGGUGUGCACGAUGAGGUUUUCGGAAGGUAAAGUGCUUUCAGUUGGGAAGCGGUACCAACAGAAGAAGUGACGGCUAAAUACGUGCCAGCAGCCGCGGGAAUUC